rnacentral:rRNA from 1 species
CAGAGGGUGCGAGCGUUAAUCGGAUUUACUGGGCGUAAAGCGUGCGUAGGCGGCUUAUUAAGUCGGAUGUGAAAUCCCCGAGCUUAACUUGGGAAUUGCAUUCGAUACUGGUGAGCUAGAGUAUGGGAGAGGAUGGUAGAAUUCCAGGUGUAGCGGUGAAAUGCGUAGAGAUCUGGAGGAAUACCGAUGGCGAAGGCAGCCAUCUGGCCUAAUACUGACGCUGAGGUACGAAAGCAUGGGGAGCAAACAGGAUU